rnacentral:ncRNA from 1 species
AUUAUAGAAUACAGCCCCAAUAUGGUUUUGAGCUUCUGAAGAAGCGUUAUGCGUAAUUAGACAUAUUUUCAAGUCAGAAAACGAGAGCACUUUUGGGAACUUAUAGUUGAAAUGCGUGUUGGACGUGAAUUGAUUCACUCCUCAGUCAAUCAAUCUUUCUGAAGACAAAAUAACGUCAGAACGACCUGAACAGAACUUUACUGAUAUAACAUUUCACAGUUAGGCCGAGUCUACCUUACAUUUUUUAAGAAGAGAAACCUGUGAGGCGGCACAGAUUAAAGGAGCAAGUAUGGCUGUUUCCUAUUAUCAUUUAUUUAUCUAAGUAUUUAUCACUAGCGAGACAACGAACUGCGAAAGCAUUUCCCAAGAAUGUCUUUCUUAAUCAAUUAAAGUCAGAGGUUGAAGCGGUUGGAUAUCGUUCUAGUUCUGACCGUAAACGAUGCUGAUUAGCGUUCCGUUGGCGGUUAGUACGCCUGGACGGACAGCUUCCCGGAAAUAAAGUUUUUCGGUUCUGAGGGAAGUAUGGUCGUAAAGGUGAACCUUACAGAAAUUGACGGGAGGACACUAAAAGGAAUGAAGCCUGUGUUUGACUCAACA